rnacentral:rRNA from 1 species
UACAUGGGGUGCAAACGUUGCUCGGAAUCAUUGGGCGUAAAGCGCACGUAGGCGGUUCGUUAUGUCGGAUGUGAAAGCCCUUGGCUUAACCGAGGAAGUGCAUCCGAAACUGGCGAGCUAGAGUACGAAAGAGGAUCGCGGAAUUCCCGGUGUAGAGGUGAAAUGCGUAGAUAUCGGGAGGAACACCGGUGGCGAAGGCGGCGAUCUGGGUCGAUACUGACGCUGAGGUGCGAAAGCGUGGGGAGCAAACAGG